GUCAAGUCAGCAUGGCCCUUACGUCCUGGGCUACACCCACGCUACAAUGGCCGGUACAACGGGCGGCGAAACCGCGAGGUGGAGCGAAUCCCUUAAAGCCGGUCUCAGUUCGGAUUGUAGGCUGCAACUCGCCUACAUGAAGCCGGAGUUGCUAGUAACCGCCGGUCAGCAUUACGGCGGUGAAUAUGUUCCCGGGCCUU
rnacentral:rRNA from 1 species